UGGGGAAUAUUGGACAAUGGGGGAAACCCUGAUCCAGCAAUGCCGCGUGAGUGAAGAAGGCCUUCGGGUUGUAAAGCUCUUUUGUCAGGGACGAUAAUGACGGUACCUGACGAAUAAGCACCGGCUAACUUCGUGCCAGCAGCCGCGGUAAUACGAAGGGUGCUAGCGUUGUUCGGAAUGACUGGGCGUAAAGGGAGCGUAGGCGGCUCUGUACGUUUGAUGUGAAAGUCCUGGGCUCAACCUGGGGACGGCAUUGAAUACGGCAGAGCUUGAGGCAUAGAGGGGAAGAUGGAAUUGCGUGUGUAGAGGUGAAAUUCGUAGAUAUACGCAAGAACACCCGUGGCGAAGGCGAUCUUCUGGCUAUGACCUGACGCUAAGGCUCGAAAGCGUGGGGAGCAAACAG
rnacentral:rRNA from 1 species